rnacentral:lncRNA from 1 species
CUCCCAGCCAUCCUGUAACACAUCCUAAAAACCUUGGGAGCAACGUCUCAUGAGGUGAUGAUGAUUCCACCAGACAGUGAGAAAAAGGAACACAACAGGGCAUAAGGCCAAGUUAAAAGACUGUACUCACAGCCCACCCACCGGGACACAGAAAGGCAAUGACUCAAAGCCCUGUGCAGGUAAUGUGCAACUACAGAGGCUGAACUACUUGGAGGAUAACCUCAGCUACGCUAGGAGAAAGAAAACCGAAGAUAAUGGAAAAGAAACAGCUAUAAUAACCAUCUGCAAGCACACAUGGUCUCUACUUCAGCACCCAUAAAACUUAAAAGGAUAAAAGAAAAGGAAAUUGCUUGCAAAAUAGCAAAGACAAUUUUAUAAACAUUUCUUCUUAUACUUUUGUAGGGUUGCCCUGUUUCUGCUGUUAGGAGUACUGUGUGUAUUAGCAUUUAUUGUGGAGAGAGG